rnacentral:rRNA from 1 species
UACGGGGGGGGCAAGCGUUGUUCGGAAUUACUGGGCGUAAAGGGCUCGUAGGUGGCCAACUAAGUCGGACGUGAAAUCCCUCGGCUUAACCGGGGAACUGCGUCCGAUACUGGAUGGCUUGAGUUUGGGAGAGGGAUGCGGAAUUCCAGGUGUAGCGGUGAAAUGCGUAGAUAUCUGGAGGAACACCGGUGGCGAAGGCGGCAUCCUGGACCAUAACUGACGCUGAGGCGCGAAAGCUAGGGGAGCAAACGGG